GACGAACGCUGGCGGCGUGCCUAACACAUGCAAGUCGAACGGGGUCCAUGGGAGCUUGCUCCCGGAAGACCUAGUGGCGAACGGGUGAGUAACACGUGAGAAACCUGCCCUGGAGUGGGGAAUAACUCGGGGAAACUCGAGCUAAUACCGCAUACCCUCGGAUGGUCGCAUGGCCGACCGAGGAAAGAUUCAUCGCUUCAGGAGGGUCUCGCGGCCUAUCAGCUAGUUGGUGGGGUAACGGCCUACCAAGGCAACGACGGGUAGCUGGUUUGAGAGAACGACCAGCCACACUGGAACUGAGACACGGUCCAGACUCCUACGGGAGGCAGCAGUAGGGAAUAUUGGACAAUGGAGGAAACUCUGAUCCAGCCAUGCCGCGUGAUAGAUGAAGGCCCUCUGGGUUGUAAAUAUCUUUAUCUGGAAGAACAAUCUUAUUCUUAAGAUCUUGACGGUACCAGAGGAAUAAGCACCGGCUAACUCCGUGCCAGCAGCCGCGGUAAU
rnacentral:rRNA from 1 species